GAAUGGAAAGAAAGAGAGAGAAUAAAAAAGAGAGAGGGUGAGAUAUUCAAACAUUACUAUUAAUUUCUUGUUUCUCAUCCCCUCUCUCUUUCUUCUCUCUUCUUCUUUCGAUUU
rnacentral:miRNA from 1 species